CACGAGGGAAGGGUCUUAUCUGGAGAUUCUGCUUCUGGAGUACUUGUUGGGCCCUGAUUCUUGGGACGGAGAAGUCCAAAAUGCCAAAAGCAAGCAGAAAUCCCUUUGUAUUGAAGUCCUGCCUGAGUCUGGUGAAGUUUCUCAUGUGGAUGGGACCCGUGCUCUGUCCCUUAGUGUGGGUGACAACGUGCGACCACCAGGAAGGCUGCGUCCUGCUCUACCCCUGUCCGUGCCAGGAGAGUUGGAACAGCCCAGAACUGUGUGCGAGAUUAGGAAAGGUGUGCGCUAAUUAAUGGGAGUGCUGCGCUGCCCCUCGGCUGCACCCGCACAUGUGGAUGUGGCACUUGGUGUGUCCCCUCCCUGUCUGUGCCCACACUGACAAAAGGACUGAGCUGUGACCACGCUACGUUCCUAUGAGCAGCCCGAAGGGACAGCAUGAGGAAAUCGACGUACUCAGGUGAGCUGUGGUUCUCUCCUCUCUCGGCUCUCUCCUUUUGUGUCUGGACUGGGAAAAGAAAAAGGUUUCAAAACAGAAGUACAACUUGAAUCAGCCCCUCUCCCUCCGACUGGUUCUGUGGUGGAGAAUGGAAUGAGUUUGCUGUGUAUAAACAGAACCUGCUGACUGAUGGAAAAGGUUUAAAGAGUAGAACAAAUCCAGGGUGGCAGCUUGUGCCAGCCUUGGUGGCAUGCAGCUUGUUUGGAGGACACCUUUCCCAGCACAGGACAGACUCGGUGCUGAGCUGCAGUUUGGAAUUAAAACAGAAUGGUGGCACUGCUUGUGACACCUUCAGGGCAAACCCCCAUGUAGGAGAGCUGGGGCCCAAACGCUGUGCAGUUCUCUCCCUGCUCCCUGUUCCAGCUUUGCAGCCUUGUCCUGCAGGGUGAGGGCUCUGUGCCUUUGGCUUCUGCAGGCUCAGUCAGGUUCCUUCCUCCCUGGCUGCUUGGGAGCAGGUAACCACAGCUGACAGCUUUUCUCUAAGCUUCUUCUGAAACUUUGCUGGCAGACUGAGAGAUGGCUGCUGCAUGAUGGUGUGAAUCCAUGCCCACCAGUGGCUCCUCCAGGUGCAGGAUAUGGCUGUGCUCUUCAGCUCCAGCUUCCUGCCCGUGGCUGCUCUGUAGGUCUGCUUCUGUCCUGGCUUCAUCUAGGUGACUUUGGGGACACAGUCCAUGCUGGCCUCUGUCCUGAGUCAUGUGUCUGGGCAGCCUCUGUGCUGAGAGCCCCUCCAGCCAUGCAGCAGCUGGGAGGGCUCAAUGGGACCUGGUGGUUUUCUGUGCUCAGAGCAUCCCCCCCGUGAUGCAGCCUGGUUGCUGCUAAAUGGAUCAGGGACAUCUCCCUUGUGUAUAUUUCUCUUAUUAGAAUCACUGAAUGGACUGUCAGGGAGGUUUUGUUAGGGAGUGUAUGCCAAGAACAACAGAAGACUUUACAACACGUUAACAACAGUGUUCAUUGAUUACAGUUGGUAUUAAUGGAAUUGCAUGUAGGGAAGCCUGUUGCUGGCACUUACAUCCUAAAGUGCAUGUAGUGGCUAAGAGGCCCUGGAGGGGGGUAACUGUGGGCUCUAAGGACCUGAAAUUAAGGCUCCCUGCAGAAGGGGCUGCAUGAUCCUGAAGCAUUCUGUUUGCUUUGGGCUGACUGUUGGGGUGAAGCAGUGGCCCUGCAAAGCUCCUGAUGUGAGUGAUGCAUCUCUGAUCAACGUUUGCCUCCAUGUCAGUACAGUGUUGUAAAAUUAAGAUCAAUCAACACCUGAUCAAUACCUUUUAAUUCAAAAGGGACUACUGCAGUUAUAUUUUGGAAAAACUGUUUGUGUGGGGUUUUGACUGGUAUGUAGCAGCCACUUAUGGAAAAAAGAAGGGAAGAAUUGCAUCAUUGCACUGUGGCCACCACUAAUCUCUGGAAAAAGCACACGCAGCCCUUGUGAGUGCUAUGAAGGCUCUGCCUUCAGUAGUGGUGAACUGGGCUCUCACCUCUCCUGACUCAUAGGGAAGGAAGGUCCUGGGUGAGUCAUUUACCAUGCUGGGAAGGCCUUGGAGUGCAGCCAGCAGCGAGCUGGGCAGAGGCAGUCCUGAUUGUCCUGUACAUCUGAUGGGUUCGUACAUGGGGGAUCAGCAGUGGGUGACUUCCUUCAGGAAAUUCUGUUGGAAUCCAAACUACUUCUCUAAGAGAUGAGCGUAAAGUGCUGCUGAACCUCUAGGCAUCCUACUGAUAGAGAGAUCCUGGAGAUGAAGACAAGUAACUAAUCAGUUAAAGGCUGCACUGCUGACAGCCCUUGACAGGCUGGAAAUAGUGUUUUGCUUUUUGCCAAAGCUGGGAUAAUUAGCUGCUUCUGAACCCUUUUUGAGGUUAGGGAGCACUUCUUUCACAUCUUCCAUAUCUUCCGAUUUAAUACAGAACCAUAGAAUGGUUUGAAAUGGAAGAGCCCCUUAAAGGCCAUGUGGUCCAACCUCCCUGCAAUGAGCAGGGACACCCACAGUUUGAGCAGGAGCUCUGAGCCCCAUUCAGCCUGACCUUGGGUGUCUGCAGGGAUGGAGCACCACCACCUCUCUGUGCAAAGUAUGGUGGACCAGGUGCCACUGAGCCCAACUGGAAGGCUUCACUUCUCAGGGCUGAAGCUCCAGCUCUGCCCUCUGUUAGCACAUCAUCAUUCUGUUACCAGGUUGUUCCUCACUCCACGCAAGUUUUCUGAAGACCUUCAGAGGAAAUGAUUACCCAUCUGCUACAACUUUUCAGCACAUGUCACAUAGGUGUGGUUGGGCUGCAGCUUGCCUGCAGAUGCUUUACCUCUUACUGGUAAAGGGAGGUUCAGACCUUUGUGCCAUAGCUGCAGGCAUUGCAGCUCAGCCCAGCAGUGCUGUUUUCCUGGAAAUUCCUGGAAGGAGGAGGGCAAAAAGGAGGUUUUACACAGCAAGUUAAAACUGAGAAAUAACCACCGUUGAAUGAACUCCUAAAUGCUUUCUUCUGCAAUGUCUAUUGUUUCAGAUCCUUCUCCAGAGGAGAAACACAAGGGUUGAAACACAGGGGUUAAAAGGGUUUUUGGAUUCUCAUUUUCCAUUUCUUAAAUACGAUAACAAUGCCAGAGAAGAAACAGUCAGGAUUCAUGACAAAUGAUUUUAUAGUUGUUUUCAAGGAUGAUACAAAUUGCUUUGGCCGAGGACUGCUUGCAGUUUCAGGUUUGUAAGUUGUUGGCACGCACUGAAAUAGGGAUUACAUUAAUUAGGGCACCUCCAGAGCCUUCUCGCGUGGUUGUGUCUCACCUCAGCUAUAGAAUCCUCAUGAAGUGCUAAGGCACGUGUAGAGAGAUGACUCCUCAUAUUGAGCUAGGCUUAUAGGGAAGAAACUGAAGAGUAUGAGAAUGGUGACCCGAUCAUUGCUUUAGGGUUAGGAUCUUUUUCAGGCUGGUACCCACUGAGAGAGGCAUAAUUCCAUCAGUGGUUUUUAACCCCACUGUUUUAAAAGCUGUGAGGUGUGGCAGUUGAUGACAGCUUUUGCAGAGUCCUGUUGUUCUCCCUGGGCUGGACCUGCUGUCCCCUGAGCUAUCUGGAACUCUGUCAGGCUGACCCAUGGGGGAACAUGCAGGGUUGUUCAGGCAGUUUUUCCUUAGCUCACCAGUAAAACAUCGAGAGGAAAAAGAUAAGGUUUGGAUCCAACAAAAGCAUUCGUUUAAUUAAAAUUGUCAUUUUUAACAGAAACAUGAAAUAUUUUGUUUUGAGGUAUGGAAAAAUAAAAAAGCCAUUUCCUUGAGCUUAACUACAGAUAGCUCCUGAUCCUCAAAACCUGCAUUGCUGGGCCAAGAAACUGUCAUUAAAAUAAAUGAUUGUCUCAAGGAUUCCCGGUCAGCCACAGGAACUGGAUCCUUCAAACUUAGUAUUCAAAGCCUGAAUUCAGUGCAAGUGUUCCUCUACCAGUUCAGAGGCUCUCCCUGAGGUUCUGCAAGCUCUGUGGUACUUGGUUUUGUGAGGGCAUUGUGAUACCUUGUGUUACUGAAGUAACAGGAAGGAAAAUAAGGAUUACAGAAUGAACUUGUUUAUUGAUAACCCAAGAAUAGCAGGAGGCUGGUGCACAAAAGGCUUUGUACCCUAUUUUCAGGAUGCAGGUUGGCUUGCUCAGCUGCAUGGAUUAGAAGCCAUAAAUGUGACCCGCAUGAAAGCUAGUUGAUAUCCAAUGGCCAUGGCCUCCCAUCCUUAUAUAAAUCCCCAAACAAAAGAGAAAACAGGCACGAUCCAGUUUCUGUAUGGCAAACACUUGCUUAUUGUUUCAGGAACUGCAUCACCAAGUAGUCCAUGCCUCACGCUCACAUUUUCCAACCAGUAAACAACAGCCCUGGUCCCAGUCCUGUUUACACAUUCUGCCUGCUGGAUUUCUUCCCCAGGAUCCUUCACUUAAUUUUUUUGCCACUCAAACCAUCACAUCAUACGAAUGGCUGCACUGUCCCUGCUGAGUCGCUUUGCUGUGUGGCUGUCAUGUUUCUGAUGGCCCCUGAUGCUGAUGUAAUACUGUCAGGGAGGUUCUCCAGCAGCAGUGCCAUGCUGUGGGGGGUGGCAGGAUGGGCAGGACAGGUUGGGUUGGGUGCUUUGCUGCUGUCAGAUCUGGCUGGCAUGUGUGGGCAGUGGUGGAGCGUUGCUUCAGGUAGCAAAACAUCCUCGUGCCUGAUAGGAAAUCUUCCCAUGCCCAAUUGGAGUAAGCAAGGCUGAGAUGUGCCUUGCAGAGUGAGGAAACCUUGCGCUCCCCAAACUCCCCAUCCACUUCAAGCACAACUUGGAUGUUAUCUCUUGCUGGCACUGGGGGUCCCAGCUCUGUCUGUGCCACCUCUUUCCCUACAGCAGCCAUGUGCUGAGAGCAGUGGAGCAGUGUGAGGGAGGUAGUGCUGCUCUGUUGAGUCAGCCUGUUCCCAUGCUGUAGUGGCUUUGCAAUGAUGAUGGCUCAAAGCACUUUUUAAAGAUGUUAUGUUGCAGAGAGGGAAUCAAUGGUGCAUGGGGCAUCUGGAUCCUGCACAAACCCAAAAGAGAUUCCUGGCUUUGUGCUUACAGUGCAAUUUUCACAUUCACGUAUUUGAGAUAACCCCUCCCAGAGCUCAGUGGGGUCCAGACAUCCAGAGAUGCUUCUAGAGCAGAGGACAGCAUUGGUGUGUGAUGGCACAAGGAGGAGGGGAAGGUAACUUUGUCCAAUGGUAGGAAAGUGGCUGAAAGCUGAGCAGAAGGGGCUUGCUGGGAAGUUACUGUUCACCCUUUAACACCAAUCACUGUGUUACAUCAGUCUGAGGUGUGGCACAAACUUCCUCUGUGACAUAAACUUUUAGUUUUGGGGAGGGCAGGUUCAAAUCUGAUGCCCAGAGCAUAAAAUCAUAGAAUCAUUAAGGUUGGAAAGACCACUAAGAUCAUAUAAUCCAACCAUCAACCCAUCCCCACCGUAGCACUAAACCACAUGGCUCAGUGUUGCAUCUGCCCUUUUCUUGAACACCUCCUGUGAUGGUGA